UACGAAGGGGGCUAGCGUUGUUCGGAAUUACUGGGCGUAAAGCGCACGUAGGCGGGUCGUUAAGUCAGGGGUGAAAUCCCGGAGCUCAACUCCGGAACUGCCUUUGAUACUGGCGAUCUAGAGAUCGAGAGAGGUGAGUGGAAUUCCGAGUGUAGAGGUGAAAUUCGUAGAUAUUCGGAAGAACACCAGUGGCGAAGGCGGCUCACUGGCUCGAUACUGACGCUGAGGUGAGAAAGCGUGGGGAGCAAACAGG
rnacentral:rRNA from 1 species